UGGGGAAUCUUGCACAAUGGGGGCAACCCUGAUGCAGCGACGCCGCGUGAGCGAUGAAGGUUUUCGAAUCGUAAAGCUCUGUCCUAUGGGAAGAUAAUGACGGUAUCAUAGGAGGAAGCCCUGGCUAAAUACGUGCCAGCAGCCGCGGUAAUACGUAUGGGGCGAGCGUUGUCCGGAAUUAUUGGGCGUAAAGGGUACGUAGGCGGUUUUUUAAGUCAGGUGUCAAAGCGUGGAGCUUAACUCCAUUAAGCACUUGAAACUGAAAGACUUGAGUGAAGGAGAGGAAAGUGGAAUUCCUAGUGUAGCGGUGAAAUGCGUAGAUAUUAGGAGGAAUACCGGUGGCGAAGGCGACUUUCUGGACUUUUACUGACGCUCAGGUACGAAAGCGUGGGGAGCAAACAGG
rnacentral:rRNA from 1 species